GACGAACGCUGGCGGCGUGCCUAAUACAUGCAAGUCGAGCGGACUGAUUAAGAGCUUGCUCUUAUGACGUUAGCGGCGGACGGGUGAGUAACACGUGGGCAACCUGCCCUGUAGAUCGGGAUAACACCGAGAAAUCGGUGCUAAUACCGGGUAAUAUCUGAGAUCACAUGAUCUUAGGUUAAAAGAUGGCUCCGGCUAUCACUACAGGAUGGGCCCGCGGCGCAUUAGCUAGUUGGUAAGGUAAUGGCUUACCAAGGCGACGAUGCGAAGCCGACCUGAGAGGGUGAUCGGCCACACUGGGACUGAGACACGGCCCAGACUCCUACGGGAGGCAGCAGUAGGGAAUCUUCCGCAAUGGACGAAAGUCUGACGGAGCAACGCCGCGUGAGUGAUGAAGGGUUUCGGCUCGUAAAGCUCUGUUGUUAGGGAAGAAACAGUACCGAACGAACUAGGUCGGUACCUUGACGGUACCUAACCAGAAAGCCACGGCUAACUACGUG
rnacentral:rRNA from 1 species